GCUCACUGGGAAGUUCAUCACUAAGGUCAUGCUUUGGGUGUUUAUCAUUCAUGCUCAAUACUUUGGGGAAGGUCUGAGAUAAGAGCCAAUGACUGCCCUGUGGGUAUCACCUAAUGACUUACUACUAAGGGCUUGGCUACACUUGCAGCUGUAGAGCACUUUGGGUUAAACCAGCCUUCAGAGAGC
rnacentral:lncRNA from 1 species